rnacentral:rRNA from 1 species
AACUUUCAACAACGGAUCUCUUGGCUCUCACAUCGAUGAAGAACGCAGCGAAAUGCGAUAAGUAAUGUGAAUUGCAGAAUUCAGUGAAUCAUCGAAUCUUUGAACGCACCUUGCACCUUUUGGUAUUCCGAAAGGUAUGCCUGUUUGAGUGUC